UGAUGUUCCUUUUCAUCCUCUUCGGCGGAGUGGUACUUUGGACAAUUGAGAUGGCAGAUAUAAAGAUACACUCCCCUUCCUCCUCCUCCUCCGCCUCCUCGACAGUGUUGCCAAGAAUCUCCGGUUCAAUCUACAACUCUGCACGGACCGUAGUGUCACAGUGCAUCAAGAGCAUUCCCCGGCCCUUCAGCGCGCGGGUCUUCCUCUUCCACCUGUGGGUGAUCGCCCUGGUGGUGGAUAACGUGUACCAGGGUCAUAUCACGGCCUUCAUAGCGAUGCCCAGAUUCACGCCUCAGAUCGACCACCACGAGCAGGUGAGCCAAAGAAAGAGCUUGACGCCCGUGACGGAGAGGUAUUCCACCACCCACCGCAUGAUCAAGG